GUAAACCAUUUGGUCUCUUUCAUCAGACCCUGUGCAAUUGCUAUAGCACGGUGAUAUUUUCUUUGUUUGGGAAUUAGUUAAAUAAUAAUCAUGGGUUCUGGAGGAGCUGGGGGACCAGAAGGACAUGGAGGGCCUGGAGGACCACCUGGACCACAUGGAGGGGGAUUCUUUGCCUGCAUUCGACAAUGUUUCUACUUUCUGUGCUGCUGUUGCCUGUUUCAAGGAUGCUGUGAAUCUUGCUGCCCUUGCUGUCCUUGCUGUGAAUCUUGCUGCCCACCCUUUGGAGAGCCUCCCCACUGAACAAAACCCAUAUUUGUGGAAAGCUUCUUGAAGCUCAUAUGCAUUUGUGUUAAGUAGGACAUACGUAUAUAUAACUACUGUGGCAGUUGUAUAGUUUGAAAUUUUAGUGGUAAAAAGUCUUUGUUUCUGCUUUCCCAUUACAAUGAAAUGUUCUGGACAGCCAUGGUAAUUUGGUGUAUUGUCUUUAAUUUUCUUAAAACUUAUUUCAAUCUCAUACAAUUCUUUAUGAACACAAGCACUCCAGGUUUAAUGCCUAGCUUGCCUCUUGCCAAAAAUUGUCUGGUUAAACUCAAUGUAUAUUGAGCACUAAAAGUGUAUAUGAUCAAUGGAAGGAUGGUUUGUCUCGA